UCAAGUCCAGAGAAGAUCCCUUCCCCCAAAUGUGGGAAAUAAAUUGGUAGCAAAAGAAAACUUCCUUCUGCUGAGUUCAGCUCUGGCUCUUGAACUCUGCAAAAGAAAACGAGGGAGUGAAUUUAUUUCUAAAGUGCAUGUUGAAAGGGGAGCAAUUUUGCUUCUCUGGAUCUUCUGGAUUUUUUUUGAAAAUAUUGAAAAAAUCCUUAGACAUAGAGUGAAGACAGGGUCACCCAUCCGAACUCCUACGAUUUUCUUCAGAGUCUCAUGUGCAUGUCAUGGAAUUGGAGAACAAAAUCCAUCUAUCCUGAAGGUGUUGUUGAAUUCAAGAAAAAAAAAAAGAAGAAGAAAAAGAAGAAAGAAAGAAAUGUACAGAUAGGGACCCGAAAAAAAGAUGGCGGCCGAGUAACAGCUUCUGUGCAGCCGGGUGCAGUGAGAACGGUGAGAGAAGACUCCAGGCAUCUCUGGCCAGUGGGUUUUGCCCAGAGGAUUCCCUUUGGUGACACAGGAAGCUGGUGAGAGACUUCUGGACCCCAUGAGGAGGACAGAAGCGGUGGAAAAUCUGGCAAGUGGUUUCUAAAGAGAGGUACCACCUGGAAAGAAGAGUGUGGCCUGGUGUCUAACUCAGGGAGACCCAGGCAAGGAAGUUCCAAGAUACUUUCCAAUGAAGCAACUCACUGCGAUGUUGGGUUGUAGUGAAGGUUGCUGCCCCUGCUGGCCAUGUGGCAUGGUAGCUGCUUGAGCUGUACCCCAGAGAGUGAGUGGCCUAGAAGAUGCACAGAACCACCCAGCGCUCAGUAGUUGGGGGGCAGCAUGGGCGAUCUGAGAAACCACAGGUGACAUGUACACAGAACAUGGUCAGGAAAUAGCGACUCAACCGAUAUGCAUCUUACCGUACUCACUAUAGUGAUUUUGUAAAAAAAACACUAUUCAUUUUAAUGUCUGAUAAUCUUUGCAUUUGUUACUUUCUUUUUAAUAAAUCCCUUUUGAAACAGUGAGCUUUUAAAAAGCAAAAGCUUAAUAAAAAUGUACUUCUUAAUUUCAGUUACUAAAGAAAGCUAAUGAUGAAUGUCAUUUUCAAAAAUAUUUGUAAACAUUUACCAUCUACUGUGAAGAACACAGGGUAUCAUUGACCAUAAAAAAACAGAAUAUCCAAAUAUGUUGAUGGAGCAUCAGAUUCGCUUCAAGUUAGCAGUUAAUUUAUGAAAAUUGUUCCCCCCCCAAUCUUUAAUCCAUGAGAA